GAAGGUGCACGAGGAGCUUCAGUCCGUGACCUGUGGUCUGGCGGCCCAGCAGAACCCGCGGAAGCCCUGUGGUGAGGCCCGAGAUUGUACAGGAACAGCUUAAGACCACUCGGUGGUCAUUACUACCCAUUCGGUGGCCGGAACAGGGGGAGCCGCACCCCAGUCUUCAGCGGGGUGCUGAGCACUCCAGUCUUUGGUGGGGAAUUGCUGAAAAGGCACAGAGGCACAUGCCUGUCUGCAGAGCAGGUCUGGGACCGCAGGUGGAGCAGCCAUGAACUCAGGAGCCGGAGCAGUCCAUUCACCCUGAAAUUCUUCCUUGUGUCACAUUUCUGUGAAAUCCUCAAGAGGAGGCAAAAGCAAGUGUCAUU